CAUAGCUGUACCACAGAGCUGUACCACAUUACUGUACCACAGAGCUGUACCACAUUACUGUACCACAUAGCUGUACCACGGAGCUGUACCACAGAGUAACAUUCUGUCCACCAACUGGUGCCCAGCCCACAUGGGCUUAUAGGACACCAUAUCAAGUAUCAAAACAUUACAUUAAACAAAUGUAAUGCCUUUAACAAUUAAAUGUGUAAUUAGCAAACACAUGUUCAAAUACAUACAGGUUCACAUACUGUACAAAUACAUACAGGUUCACAUACUGUACAAAUACAUACAGGUACACAUACUGUACAAAUACAUACAGGUUCACAUACUGUACAAAUACAUAAAGGUACACAUACUGUACAAAUACAUAAAGGUACACAUACUGCUCAAAUACAUACAGGUACACAUACUGUUCUAUGUAGAUCAUCUAUAUAGCUGCUGUGGGAUCUUGAUUAAAGGCUCAAUACAAUCAAACAGGUCAGGAAACUCUCAGGUGAUUCCAGAUUAGCGGCCAUUUCAAAGGGUGAGCAAUUUCCCCAGUCCCACCCGACCAUCUGCAUACCGCACUGGAACCUUUGAUAUCCCUUGGUUCUUCUAUUCCCUUGGUCCUACCAUCCAACUACACCUGUCUGUCUCACACUCUCUCCUCUUGGUAGACCUGUCUGU
ensembl:lncRNA